AUUGAACGCUGGCGGCAGGCUUAACACAUGCAAGUCGAGCGGGGAGAUGUAGCUUGCUACAUUUCCUAGCGGCGGACGGGUGAGUAAUGCUUAGGAAUCUGCCUAUUAGUGGGGGACAACAUUCCGAAAGGGAUGCUAAUACCGCAUACGCCCUACGGGGGAAAGCAGGGAUCUUCGGACCUUGCGCUAAUAGAUGAGCCUAAGUCAGAUUAGCUAGUUGGUGGGGUAAAGGCCUACCAAGACGACGAUCUGUAGCGGGUCUGAGAGGAUGAUCCGCCACACUGGGACUGAGACACGGCCCAGACUCCUACGGGAGGCAGCAGUGGGGAAUUUUGGACAAUGGGCGCAAGCCUGAUCCAGCCAUGCCGCGUGAGUGAAGAAGGCC
rnacentral:rRNA from 1 species